rnacentral:rRNA from 1 species
CCUACGGGCGGCUGCAGUGGGGAAUAUUGGACAAUGGGCGAAAGCCUGAUCCAGCCAUGCCGCGUGUGUGAAGAAGGCCUUCGGGUUGUAAAGCACUUUCAGUGGGGAAGAAAGCCUUGGGGCUAAUACCCUCGAGGAAGGACAUCACCCACAGAAGAAGCACCGGCUAACUCCGUGCCAGCAGCCGCGGUAAUACGGAGGGUGCGAGCGUUAAUCGGAAUUACUGGGCGUAAAGCGCGCGUAGGCGGUCUGAUAAGCCGGUUGUGAAAGCCCCGGGCUCAACCUGGGAACGGCAUCCGGAACUGUCAGGCUAGGGUGCAGGAGAGGAAGGUAGAAUUCCCGGUGUAGCGGUGAAAUGCGUAGAGAUCGGGAGGAAUACCAGUGGCGAAGGCGGCCUUCUGGACUGACACUGACGCUGAGGUGCGAAAGCGUGGGUAGCAAACAGGAUUAGAUACCCCUGUAGUC